rnacentral:snoRNA from 1 species
CUGGAAUGAUGCUUCAUUAGCCAAAUCAGACUUUUUGAUGUGCUCCAUAAGGCAUCAGCUUCAAAGCUAUUUUCUUGAUGUGUUUUUUUAUAAGCGCAACGGUUACCUCUUAGUAACUCUAAUCUAGCUUUGUUGCCUUUUGUUGAAGUGCAUUCUCUGACGAUACCUUCGGGAUUGGUUGCUUAUCUGACCAGA